UGAUUACGUCCCUGCCCUUUGUACACACCGCCCGUCGCUCCCCGGGACUGAGUUGUUUCGAGAAAUCCACGGACCGGUGCCGUUCGGUGUUUCGGCAUCUGCGGCGCUGGAAAGUGGCUUAAUCGCAACGGCUUGAACCGGGGAAAAGUCGUAACAAGGUUGCAGUAGGUGAACCUGCUGCAAGAUCAGGUAUCGAUGAAAUUAUCGCGUUGCCCCCCUCCUCCAAGGGGGACUUCACGUUCAACACCGACGCCGAGCGCCCAUAUUCGACGGUCGUCGUGAAGCGCGCGGAUUGUCGGUGGUCGCUGGACUCCCCGCGAGUUUUCAGUCUUACAAACGGCUUCUCUGGGCCUCUAAGUCGAACUGAGCAGUUGUGUACCACGUCCGUGGCUGCCGAGACGUUCGACGGUCGCGUUCGCUUCGAGCGAGCGCUAGAGUUGAUGACCCGGUCGGGCACCCAGAACCAUAUACACACACAUCAAACAUUCAAUGCUGAAUAGUCAAGUUAAAGUUAUGUCGGCGAAUCACUUGGCUCGUGGGUCGAUGAAGAACGCAGUGAAUUGCGUUAAUAAGCACGAAUUACAGAUAUUAUGAGUGCCUUGUUUUCGAUUGCAUAUUGCGCCGUCGGGUUCUGCCCUUCGGCAUACUCGACUCAGGGUGUUUUAAAGGAAACGAUAAACCAACUAUUGGCGACGGUUAUCGAGUUCAUCUCGUCGGCUCGUCCCAACGGACGUCGGUCGGCGUGUGGAGGGCGGCAAUCCCCGUGAAUGGCGGAGUUGCCUGCUUUUAAGUGUGAACUACUGUAGUUUCAAACGGUUCUCGUAAGCAAGGGACGCGUUUCGCAAGGUCCGCGCUGUCGACUGUGUUCAGGCAAUUGAUUCGCGUUGAGCGCUUGCCAGUCGCGACGUGCGUCCACGAUUCGUUGGUCCGAGUGACCGGCAGUAGGACUUGAAACACCAGCCAUCAUCUGGUUGAAUCCACCUGAGUCGCGAAGAGUACCUGCCGAACUUAAGCAUAUCAGUAAGCAGAGGAAAAGAAACUAACAAGGAUUCCCUUAGUAACGGCGAGUGAAA
rnacentral:misc_RNA from 1 species